rnacentral:rRNA from 1 species
UAGAGUUUUGAUCAUGGCUCAGAUUGAACGCUGGCGGCAGGCCUAACACAUGCAAGUCGAGCGGAAACRAAGAGGWGCUUGCACCUCUGGCGUCGAGCGGCGGACGGGUGAGUAAUGCUUGGGAAUAUGCCUUAUGGUGGGGGACAACAGUUGGAAACGACUGCUAAUACCGCAUGAUGUCUACGGACCAAAGUGGGGGACCUUCGGGCCUCACGCCAUAAGAUUAGCCCAAGUGGGAUUAGCUAGUUGGUGAGGUAAUGGCUCACCAAGGCGACGAUCCCUAGCUGGUUUGAGAGGAUGAUCAGCCACACUGGGACUGAGACACGGCCCAGACUCCUACGGGAGGCAGCAGUGGGGAAUAUUGCACAAUGGGCGCAAGCCUGAUGCAGCCAUGCCGCGUGUGUGAAGAAGGCCUUCGGGUUGUAAAGCACUUUCAGUAAGGAGGAAAGGUUAAGUGUUAAUAGCACUUAGCU